rnacentral:rRNA from 1 species
UACAGAGGGUGCAAGCGUUAAUCGGAGUUACUGGGCGUAAAGGGCGCGUAGGCGGUUUAGUAAGUGAGCUGUGAAAUCCCUGGGCUUAACCUAGGAACUGCAGCUUAUACUGUUAAGCUAGAGUACUGUAGGAGGUAGUGGAAGUUUCCGGUGUAAGCGGUGAAAUGCGUAGAGAGUCGGAAGGAACACCAGUGGCGAAGGCGGCUACCUGGACAGAUACUGACGCUGAGGCGCGAAAGGCGUGGGGGAGCAAACAGG